rnacentral:rRNA from 1 species
GACGAACGCUGGCGGCGCGCCUAACACAUGCAAGUCGAACGAGCGAGAGGGAGCUUGCUUUCUCGAGCGAGUGGCGAACGGGUGAGUAACGCGUGAGGAACCUGCCUCAAAGAGGGGGACAACAGUUGGAAACGACUGCUAAUACCGCAUAAGCCCACGGGUCGGCAUCGACCAGAGGGAAAAGGAGCAAUCCGCUUUGAGAUGGCCUCGCGUCCGAUUAGCUAGUUGGUGAGGUAACGGCCCACCAAGGCGACGAUCGGUAGCCGGACUGAGAGGUUGAACGGCCACAUUGGGACUGAGACACGGCCCAGACUCCUACGGGAGGCAGCAGUGGGGAAUAUUGCACAAUGGGGGGAAACCCUGAUGCAGCGACGCCGCGUGGAGGAAGAAGGGUCUUUCCGGGAAUUGUAAACUCCUGUUGUUGAGGAAGAUAAUGACGGUACUCAACAAGGAAGUGACGGCUAACUACGUG